rfam:Pongo abelii chromosome 1.
GCAUUGGCGGUUCAGUGGUAGAAUUCUUGCUUUCCACCCGGGAGACCUGGAUUCCAUUUCCGGCAAAUGCA